rnacentral:lncRNA from 1 species
AAUAUCUUGGUAGAGAUUGUGAACAGUAAUUCUGUGAGGGCAACAAUAAUGCAGGGUCACUGUUUCUUUCUAAUUCGUACCCGAAACUGAGCUAAAAAAACCAUGUGAUGCUCACUUUGAUGUAACACCAUAUGCUGGCAUCUGGAUUUUAGUGCAUCUCCACUUCAAAUUUGCAUGUUGAUCAUCAUUGGGUUGUCCUUGUAGGCCUUGAAGGAUCCUCGAAAAUGCUUGGAGUUCACCAUACUUCUGGUGGUGUUCGGGACGUUCGCGUGAAGCUCCUUUUGACAUGGCCUUACGAACAUAUGCCUGAGAUAUUAGAGGUUUCCACGACUUUUCACGUCUUAGUUGCCGUCAAUUGUUGUAGUCUUUCCUGUUUACUGGAAAAUGGAAAACCUUCUUCAUCAAAAAAUGAAGGAACAGAUGGCAAAAUGUUACUCGAUUUCAGGUGACGGACAGCUUUACCACUGUAUAAACGUGUGCAGCUCGCUGCCGCCACUAAGAUGCAGUUAGGCAUCGCUUUUGCCACGCCUACCUUUCCGAAUGAAAAGCGUUGCAAGAAGCCGCAAGCAUUCUCACAAACGGCCCAGAUUCCGAC